GUUUGAUCCUGGCUCAGGACGAACGCUGGCGGCGGGCUUAACACAUGCAAGUCGAAGGGGAUUCAGGGAGCUUGCUCCUUGAUGAGACUGGCGCACGGGUGAGUAACACGUAUGUAAUCUGCCUUCAGGUGGGGGAUAACUUCGGGAAACCGGAGCUAAUACCGCAUAAUGCAGCGGGGCCGCAUGGCCAUGGUUGUUAAAGAUUUAUUGCCUGGAGAUGAACAUGCGUCGCAUUAGCUAGUUGGCGGGGUAACGGCCCACCAAGGCGAUGAUGCGUAGCUGGUCUGAGAGGAUGAUCAGCCACACUGGCACUGAGACACGGGCCAGACUCCUACGGGAGGCAGCAGUGAGGAAUAUUGCGCAAUGGGGGAAACCCUGACGCAGCCACGCCGCGUGCAGGAAGAAGGUCCUAUGGAUCGUAAACUGCUUUUAUUCGGGACGAAUGGGAAGGUUUCGACCUUGAGUGACGGUACCGAUUGAAUAAGCACCGGCUAACUCCGUGCCAGCAGCCGCGGUAAUACGGAGGGUGCAAGCGUUGUCCGGAAUCAUUGGGUGUAAAGGGUGCGUAGGCGGGUUUUUAAGUCUGGGGUGAAAGGCUGCGGCUCAACCGUAGGAUUGCCUUGGAUACUGGAGACCUUGAGUGUAACAGAGGCCGGUAGAAUUCGUGGUGUAGCGGUGAAAUGCAUAGAUAUCACGAAGAAUACCAGUGGCGUAGGCGGCCGGCUGGGUUACAACUGACGCUGAGGCACGAGAGCGUGGGGAGCAAACAGGAUUAGAUACCCUGGUAGUCCACGCCGUAAACGAUGUAUACUAGGUGUUGGGCGGGUUUAGGCUCGUUCAGUGCUGCAGCUAACGCAUUAAGUAUACCACCUGGGGAGUACGUUUCGCAAGAAUGAAACUCAAGGGAAUUGACGGGGGCCCGCACAAGCGGUGGAGCAUGUGGCUUAAUUCGAUGCAACGCGAAGAUCCUUACUCCGGGCUAAAUCACAGUAGACUGUUC
rnacentral:rRNA from 1 species